AUGCAAGAGGAAGAAGACGAGUGCGACAUUGAAGUGGGGCCUUUGUUUGAGGACGAGCUCGCCAACCAAGCCGCCGAGCCAAAGCCGAAGCGCAAGAGCAAGCGCACGAAGGCAUACACGGCGGCCGAGGACAAGCUUCUUUGUGAGUGUUGGAGGGACAUUGGACAAGACCCCAAGACCGACGUCGAACAAAAGCAUUCAACUUUUUGGAUUCGUGUCCACCGGGAGUUUCAUGAGCGCAAGAAGUUUCCUCCUUACCAAAUUGUGAGCACGCGUGGGUGGGUGUCCAUUUCGAAGCGAUGGAGAGUGAUCCAACAAGAAUGCAACAUGUUUUGCGCCACUCUUGAGAGCAUCAAGGCCCGCCCCGUGAGCGGCAUCCGCAUGCAAGACAUGAUAUGGUAG
rnacentral:rRNA from 1 species